UCACAUAUCCCUUCUGGCAUCCACAUUUUACGAGAGCUGCCAUGAUCUGCUUACUGAGUUUUUGUGGUUACCCCACCAGCUACUAACCCAUCCAUCAUUAUGAAAGGCUAAGUACACGAAUCAAGAAGAAGCAGGUUCUGUAGUUCAAACUGCCUCUGAUUCUGUCUUCCUCGAAAACCUUACUCAUCAGGAUUGUAAUACUACAGUCAGACAAAUGAAAUCAGGUGAACAUCAACAAUUGCUACUAAAACUAUCCAAGUGGUAAAAGGCCCAAGAUCCUUUGCUGAACUUUGGAUUUGGGUCUAACCACAUAGCUUGGCUUGGCUACCAGGACCUCAGCAGAUGUGUUACCAGCACAGAACCAAAUGUGCUUCUGUCAUUGGGAUUGUCCUCUUGUGCUCCUGCUGUUGCUCUAAGAAGAGCAGCUGUGCAAUGGCAUCCUUGUGGCCUGAUCCCCAGAAUGGGCACAUGGGAAGCCAACCAGAGCCCAGCCAGUAACAAGGGAACAAGCCAAUAUGAGUCUGAAAUUUGAA